AGAGUUUGAUCCUGGCUCAGGACGAACGCUGGCGGCACGCUUAACACAUGCAAGUCGAACGAGAGAAGAGGAGCUUGCUUUUCUGAUCUAGUGGCGGACGGGUGAGUAACACGUGAGCAAUCUGCCUUUCAGAGGGGGAUACCGAUUGGAAACGAUCGUUAAUACCGCAUAACAUAAUUGAACCGCAUGAUUUGAUUAUCAAAGAUUUAUCGCUGAAAGAUGAGCUCGCGUCUGAUUAGCUAGUUGGUAAGGUAACGGCUUACCAAGGCGACGAUCAGUAGCCGGACUGAGAGGUUGAUCGGCCACAUUGGGACUGAGACACGGCCCAGACUCCUACGGGAGGCAGCAGUGGGGAAUAUUGCACAAUGGAGGAAACUCUGAUGCAGCGAUGCCGCGUGAGGGAAGAAGGUUUUAGGAUUGUAAACCUCUGUCUUCAGGGACGAAAAAAGACGGUACCUGAGGAGGAAGCUCCGGCUAACUACGUGCCAGCAGCCGCGGUAAUACGUAGGGAGCGAGCGUUGUCCGGAAUUACUGGGUGUAAAGGGAGCGUAGGCGGGAUCGCAAGUCAGAUGUGAAAACUAUGGGCUUAACCCAUAAACUGCAUUUGAAACUGUGGUUCUUGAGUGAAGUAGAGGUAAGCGGAAUUCCUAGUGUAGCGGUGAAAUGCGUAGAUAUUAGGAGGAACAUCAGUGGCGAAGGCGGCUUACUGGGCUUUAACUGACGCUGAGGCUCGAAAGCGUGGGGAGCAAACAGGAUUAGAUACCCUGGUAGUCCACGCCGUAAACGAUGAUUACUAGGUGUGGGGGGACUGACCCCUUCCGUGCCGCAGCAAACGCAAUAAGUAAUCCACCUGGGGAGUACGACCGCAAGGUUGAAACUCAAAGGAAUUGACGGGGGCCCGCACAAGCAGUGGAGUAUGUGGAUUAAUUCGAAGCAACGCGAAGAACCUUACCAGGUCUUGACAUCGUAUGCAUAGCUCAGAGAUGAGUGAAAUCUCUUCGGAGACAUAUAGACAGGUGGUGCAUGGUUGUCGUCAGCUCGUGUCGUGAGAUGUUGGGUUAAGUCCCGCAACGAGCGCAACCCUUACUGUUAGUUGCUACGCAAGAGCACUCUAGCAGGACCGCCGUUGACAAAACGGAGGAAGGUGGGGAUGACGUCAAAUCAUCAUGCCCCUUAUGACCUGGGCCUCACACGUACUACAAUGGCUGUCAACAGAGGGAAGCAAAGCCGCGAGGUGGAGCGAACCCCUAAAAGCAGUCUUAGUUCGGAUUGUAGGCUGCAACCCGCCUACAUGAAGUCGGAAUUGCUAGUAAUCGCAGAUCAGCAUGCUGCGGUGAAUACGUUCCCGGGCCUUGUACACACCGC
rnacentral:rRNA from 1 species